rnacentral:rRNA from 1 species
GACGAACGCUGGCGGCGUGCUUAACACAUGCAAGUCGAACGGACAGGCCCUGCUUUUGUGGGGUGCUCGAGUGGCGCAGGGGUGAGUAACACGUGAGUAACCUGCCCUUGACUUUGGGAUAACUUCAGGAAACUGGGGCUAAUACCGGAUAGGAGCUCCUGCUGCAUGGUGUGGGUUGGAAAGUUUCGGCGGUUGGGGAUGGACUCGCGGCUUAUCAGCUUGUUUGUCGGGUAGUGGCUUACGAAGGGUUUGACGGCUAGCCGGCCUGAGAGGGUGACCGGCGACAAUGGGACUGAGAGACGGCGCAGACGGCUACGGGAGGCAGCAGUGGGGAAUAUUGCACAAUGGGCGGAAGCCUGAUGCAGCAACGUCGCGUGCGAGAUGACGGCCUUCGGGGUGUAAACCGCUUUCGCCUGUGACGAAGCGUGAGUGACGGUAAUGGGUAAAGAAGCACCGGCUAACUACGUG